rnacentral:lncRNA from 1 species
CUCGCCGGAAACGUCGACGGAGGCGUUUUCCGGCCCAGAACACGCUCAAAACGUGCAGAUCACUCCUCCUAGUUAGCAGAAACCAUUUCACAACCUCAAAUCAGCCUAUUCAUCGUUUAUUCAGCCGGAUUUUUGUCCGGAAAAACAGCCACCGUCGAGUUCUUCAAGAACUCCGGCGACGCCCUACACAACUCGUUCGUCUACCUUAAAGUCAUUAAACGAUUCCUUGAUUCCUAUAGAACAUGCUAGUAGCCUCUGAUUUUGCCCAGAAGCCACCGAUUGUAAACCCACAAAUUUCAAUUAAAAAUAUUCAAGAACACGAAGAACACUCAACCAAGAAUCAAACUAACUUCUCUAUAUGAUUCCGAACUCCAAAUUCAACAUAUAAUAUACCAAAA